rnacentral:rRNA from 1 species
UACAGAGACCCCAAGCGUUAUCCGGUUUUAUUGGGCGUAAAGCGUUCCGAUCGGUGGUUUCGUGUGUCAAAGGUGAAAGACCGCAGCUUAACUGCGUGUUUGCUUUUGAAACUGCGUUACUAGAGGUAUCAAGAGGUAGUUGGAACUAUGCAAGUAGGGGUGAAAUCCGUUGAUAUGCAUGGGAACACCUAAAGCGAAGGCAGACUACUGGGGAUAACCUGACACUGCUAGGACGAAAGCGUGGGGAGCGAUACGG